CACUUAACUUUUGUUGAAAUGUCUCAAAUCACAAUAAUGAAAGUAAUGUUGAUAGUGCUACUGACUUUGUCCAUUUUUUACCAAAAUUUGAUCGUUGACGCUUUUGUAGCUAGAGGUCCACCCAAUCCAAAGCGAAAGCCAGGGGGAUGCUAUGAAGAUAAUUUUGGGCAUUUGAAAGGUAAUUCUCAAACAAAGAUAAGAUGUGUGUUGGUGGGUUGUAGUUCAAGUGGAUGGAUUAAUGUACAAGGUUGUCCUUUGAUGGCAAUUGACGUGGGCUGCUUCGAGGAUAUUAAAGAGGAUCCUAAAAAACCUUUUCCAGAAUGUUGUGCCAAACAAUGUGAUUCACCCGCUGCUCGUUUUAUUAAGGCUAGUAAGACUACUACCCCACGACCACCUCAAAAAACGUCUAAACCUCCUAAUGACUCUUGAAACAGUGGAGCUUUUUUCGGACGAAAACGUACACAAUAAGCAACAUUAUUGAAAUGGGGCAAUAUUAUUAACACUUAUCUCACUAAUUACAAAUAAAGUUUUUUCUCCGUUUUAA